UGGUUUCUGAUUAUUAGCAUACCCUUUAGUUGAAAAUGUGUGACCUGUGACUAAUCUAAUUGCUUCAAAUUUCAUAACUAUUCUACCUAUGUGUGUGUAUUGCACCACAGUUUGGGUAAAAGUGUUGAAUUCAGCCGGUCUGCAAUUGUAUUAUGUACAGAUGAUUUAAAUAAUUACGAGAGGCACUACUAAAUACGAACGGAUAGUACACGAUCUUAAAUAGUAAUUUUGAUCUUGGUUAAAAGGUCCCAUAGGAAUGCUCGAGUGCACGGGGUGACGGUCUAUUACAUUCGCCUAUCUCAUUUUCUGCCCAUUCCAGAUGAACGUUUAAAAACGGGCCAGUGUUACGGAAUUGUUGUAACAUUCGUUUCCCAUAAAUGCUUCAUGCUUUUACUUCACAAAGCCACAAAAUCCCAUCUGGCAUCUGGUGAUUAGUACUGUUCUAUUCGCUAACGCCUAAAAGAAGUGUAGCACGAUACAAAACCUAAAUCUACCGUAAUCGCAGUUAUUCUUAUUGUAAAUGAGAAGGAGAGGAAACCUUAAUACCGCAAGCAUCUCUAUUACACGUUAAAGUACUGCGUUGUAUGAUAUAAAAAGACUCUAAUAAUGGCAGAAAAAAGGCCCCUCCCACAAGAAAACAAUGGUGUGGCGCGUUGGGGGGACAAGGAAAUGGCAAAACGGCAAUAGAGAAAAUGCGUACAACGGAACAUACAUAAACUAGUGAACUUCUUCUCAUACUCGGACAACAGAGCUACUUACAGUAUCGAUGUUCUCGCGCCUAACACACACACACACACAUACAAACACAAACACAAAACAAAGUAUAGAAGAGUUAACUUCAAUGCGAACCUAUUUAAAACUAAAUAAUACAAACCAACAACAACAUAAAAACAAACACACACACACACACACAGACAUAUGAAACAAAUAGGACUAAAAUGAGCGCGUGCGUGCGAAUAAGAUGUUAAUAAGAUAUAACAAAUUAUACACACCACUCACCAAUGUAUAUCGAUAUCGAGAGUGGGUACCAUAUUGAAAUUAAACACAACACGAAAAACAGCAACAAGAAAAGAGAACAACAAGUAAAACAACAUCAUUAUAAUAUUUUGUUGGUUGCAGGAAAACAAAAACUUAAGGCACACAUACUUAACACACGCAGUAACAGUACACAAACACAUACACAAACACUUAAUAACAAUGAAUCAUGGUUAAGCCGACAAAGGAAGAAAAACAUGAAUAAAACCCCACACGUUUAAGCUAAUUAUACACCAGCAGCAGGGGUUGGGGUGGGAACUGGAUCAACACAGCUUCCCUGCCACCCGGCGGCAUCUUCUUCCCGAAGCAAACCGAACAUAUAUUAUAUUAUCGGAAUCAAUUAGUAAACCAAUUUCUCGACGAAGACAAUUAGUGCAUAAUAAUAGUGCAAGUACCCACUACAAUGGGUAUAUGGACGAAACUACACACAUUCCAGCAGCAGCAGCUGUGUGCGGAAAACGGUUCGCAAACGACGGUAAUUUAUCUCCUUCAGGACAAAGAGACACGCGCGGCAGUAUAUAAAUAACUCUUACCAAACAUCGACCUGUAAACACGUUACGUUAGUUAUCUAGCUAUGAUAAUCUGUUCUUGAAAGUCAGUCAUGCUGGGCAAGCGCAAGGAAGGAGGAAGGAGUGAACGAGAGAAUCUUAUAUCGAGAAAAUGAUAUUUAUUGUUGUUGUUUCCAGUGCUUAGUGAUUGUUUAUGGUGAGGAGAGGGGAGGGCGUGAUAAAGCAGAGAGUAAGACAUCAAUUCAUUCUCCCACACACUCUUACGUGAUACUCAGCCUUCAGUAUGAUGAUGAUGUGGAAAUAGACACACACAAAAACCUCCCUCCUAUCUAAUCUACAAAAACAAAUCGGCUGCGAUGGGUAAAACGAACGAACGAAAACAUACUUUAACCAAAAUUAACACCCACCAUCACCCACCACCAUCACCACCGCCAGCGCGCGUUAUCCAUCGAAUACUCACGAAUUAUACGUAUUACACCAUUGAAUCUCAACAUAAGAUGGAAAAAUAUAACUUACAUAGCAAACCCAAAAAAUGAGCAUUACAUUCACACUCUAUAAUUGUUCCUUUACUGAUGUCUAGAUGUGAACCGACUUUCUUUAAGCUAAUUGUAGCUUAACAACUUGAAGCUGCUCUCCUGCGGAUACGCGUGGGGGAUGUCAUCAUGAAUGUGGCCGAUAUUGUUAGAUCCAUUUCGGGCAAGGCAAGUCCAUUACAAGUUCUUCCCCCUCGACACUUUGUUGUAUUAUCGUAAGGUGAGAGAAACAGCAAACAACAACACCUUUGUUAAUUUUGACUUAAGAAGAAGAUAUGCACACUGGAUUAACGCCAAGUAUAAGUUUUUAACAUACAUGCCUUUGUGCACUCGAUAACUGUUACUUUAUUUGCGUGAGACAGAGGCUGUGGUUUAAAAAAAUGACAAAAGGAAAAGGAUAACAACAAAGACAAAACACUUGUAGCGUAUGGAAGGAUGAUCGUAAAACCUCCUUCCCCUCCCCCCACCCCGUCGCAUUAACAAUCAUCAUAUAUCAAUGUUUGCAAGAGCACUAGAGUAAAUUUUCAGUUCGAUGCGUACGCGCUUUACCUUUUUCUCAAUCAGUUUGCUAUGUAUGAUUCGUUUUGUCAUAAACCCACCGAAACACGUUUUUUACGUUUGACAUGGCAAAGCCACUUCCACUUUCCAUUGUCAUUAAAUUCUCUUGCGUGUUUGUGUGUGUUAGUGGUGUUUUAAUGCUUGUGAUUGAUUGGGGCGGCACCGUCACCGUCAAUGCAACUAAGCGUUUAUUAUGUGUUUUACGAUCGAUGUGUGUCUCUCGAAGCGGGGAGGGGGAGGUGGCGGUGUAAAAGUUGUUGUUUCGUAGUGUGGGUGGGAGAAGAGAUAUAUUCUAUAUUAUGGAUGUUAAAGUUGAUCUUCCAUUUUCCAUGUAAAAUCAUAUACGUUUCCAUGCUUCAAAUGGCAUGCUACAUAUUAAAAAGAAGAAGAAAAAAAAAACACACACACACAUUCACACAUCACCUAACUUAACUAACUUGUGUCCCUUGUUGUCGUCGGUCUCAUGUUAGCACCCUUACCCUAAUAAACCUGCCUAUCAAAUGAUAUGAUAAAAGAGCGCGCACGAGCGGAUCAGUCGCGUUCGUUAAUUUGUCUUUAACUUGAUUGCGUUAUUAUGCUAAUGCUGGAGGAACAAUGCGCCGUGAUCAAGUAAAUUCUAUUCCCUCACUCUCACACACAGACACAUAAUACAAGCAAUGCAAAGAAGAAAGAAAUCAGGACAAAUUACCUUACCCAAGCGCGCGCUUUAUGGCAAACAAUUCCAGUUGAGAGACGAUUUCACCAAACAUAGAACAAUGCUACAGCGCUAUAGCCAGUCAGUCAGUAUUCAUCACAUAUAUGUACACACACAAACACACACAAUGCUAGUAUUUGAAGCGAUCACAAAUCAGAGUUUCUCGAUGUUAUACAUAUUUGCGUUGAUUCUAUUCUAGAUCAGAUAUAUUGGCCACUUUACGAAUGCGCGCUAGAAUAUUCAGAACUCAAAUGGAUGCGAAGGGGAGAGAAAACAAGAAGAAAACGCAAACGAUCGUUCGAGCCAGGAUGAAAGCAGGAGCAGGAAGUCCUAGCAUCUGGUUCGGUUUCCACUCAAAUAAAGGCAUUUCCCGUCCUUUCGAAGGUUUGACGAAAGCGCGGAACAUGGGAGAAAACCGGGGCAUUGAUAUAGCAGCCGCCAUCCCACCAUCAACGGGGAAUGUCAACGCGAUGCCAACCGAAAAGAGGGAAAGAAAAGUAUAGAAACACACACACACACACAGGCAGAACAAGAAAACGUUUUGCGGCGUGCGUGUUAGCGAAGUGCUUCGUAGAUAUGGUAUGGAUUUUAAGGAUAUAAUAGCAAACGUAUAAACAAAAAAAUAUGAAAGAUAUGUAAAAAAGAAAGAAAGCAACAGAGAUAAUGACAAUACAACCGAAAACGUGAUGCAACAUUAAACAAAACAACAACAACAACAAGGAGAAGAAGAAACAAAAAAGCAUAAGAGUGCGAAAACCAAAGGAAAACAAAAAUACGAAAAACAUAUAUUUGUGAAGGUCAACAAAACAAAACAAAACCGAACAUCAAUGUGUGUGGAUGGAGGAGAGCGAGAUGAAAAGUUCACCCAAGUAUCAAAAACAAAUAUUUCCUUCCCUGGAAUUUUCCCUAGUCCCAAACAAAAACCUCCUUAUCACCUCUAAAAAAAACAUUCCUUUCUCUAUCUAUCUCUCUCUCUCUCUCUCUCUGUCUGUCUCUCUGUUUGUCUCUGUAUGUAACUGUGUGCGUGGUGUUGAGUAAAAAUUAACGAACCUUACAAAACAGCAAACAAACAAACAAACAAACUCCUUAUUGAGAAAAUACUUAUAUAUAUAUCGGAUCGGUUCUAUACAAAAGGUGUGAAAAGAUUAUGAUGCAUUAUAAGCAGUCAGUGACGUGUUUAGGGAAAGCAAAAGGGGUCGCCGGUGCGUACGUGGAGGGUAAAGAAAUAGUUUUUAAUUUACGGAACAGAUUUCAUCACCAGAGAUUAAGUGACGGGGCAGAGGAAUGAGUAUGCAAUGGUUUAGUUCUCCCAGUACUGUGGUUAGCGAAUUAUAAUCUCUCUCCCUGUAAUGCCUCCCACAUUUACAACUUUGAAUCUCGAAUUUCGGGCUUUGAACACACACACACACUCACAUCCAAUGUCUUUUUAGUUGUGUUUGUGAUUGUGACUGGUGUUGUUGUCGUAUGUUGUGUUGUGUUGGUUUGCUUAUUUAAGACCUGUUUAAGAAACAAUUGAACGAGAAGUGUGUGUGUGCGUGUGUUUGAAAGAGUGUUGUGUGAUUAGCUAAUCGGGAAGGAUCUAGUUAGAGCGAACGUCCUUGUUUUUACGUUGUUUUUUUUUUAUCUUCUCCACGUUACUUACGUUCCGGCUCGUCUCACUUACGGCAAGUGUUUAACAGAAUCGGCUAGACUAACUUCUUGCAAUCAUGAUAACCUAAGAAGAAAUACUACAUACAACAAUAUCGUUCCACACUGGACAGGGUGAAACAAGGGGUAGGGGGGAGUGGUGCGAUUGCGCCAAAGGAUAAAGUGAGUGAGUGAUGCAAAGAAGCGGAAAAGGAGUAAAAGUGAAGGAAACACAACAAAACACACAAACGUACAUAUAUAUAAAUACACCCAACACACCCAACACGUCCUAACAAAAAAAAGGAAAAAAGGUGGAAAAGCAAACUAUUGUUGGUACACUCACUCACACACACACACACACACACUCUCACACAUUGUCACGAGGGAAGGGGAAAACUAGUCGGAAAAACUCUAAACCAAACACUCACAUACGAACAACAAACACACAACCCACAAACAAACAACACGGAGACGAUUAUUCUGUAUAGAGAAAAUAAAUUUUAAGGCAAUUAUUGAUUCAAACCAAAA